rnacentral:rRNA from 1 species
AGUUCAGAUUGCAGGCUGCAACUCGCCUGCAUGAAGUUGGAAUUGCUAGUAAUCGCGAAUCAGAAUGUCGCGGUGAAUACGUUCCCGGGCCUUGUACACACCGCCCGUCACACCAUGAGAGUCGAUAACACCCGAAGCCUGUGAGCUAACCGCAAGGGGGCAGCAGUCGAAGGUGGGGUUGAUGAUUGGGGUGAAGUCGUAACAAGGUACC